rnacentral:rRNA from 1 species
UUAGGUAAAUCCGGGGUUUCAAGGCCGAGAGCUGAUGACGAGUCGUCUUUUAGAUGACGAAGUGGUUGAUGCCAUGCUUCCAAGAAAAGCUUCUAAGCUUCAGGUAACCAGGAACCGUACCCCAAACCGACACAGGUGGUCGGGUAGAGAAUACCAAGGCGCUUGAGAGAACUCGGGUGAAGGAACUAGGCAAAAUGGCACCGUAACUUCGGGAGAAGGUGCGCCGGCUAGGGUGAAGGAUUUACUCCGUAAGCUCUGGCUGGUCGAAGAUACCAGGCCGCUGCGACUGUUUAUUAAAAACACAGCACUCUGCAAACACGAAAGUGGACGUAUAGGGUGUGACGCCUGCCCGGUGCCGGAAGGUUAAUUGAUGGGGUUAGCGCAAGCGAAGCUCUUGAUCGAAGCCCCGGUAAACGGCGGCCGUAACGAUAACGGUCCUAAGGUAGCGAAAUUCCUUGUCGGGUAAGUUCCGACCUGCACGAAUGGCGUAACGAUGGCGGCGCUGUCUCCACCCGAGACUCAGUGAAAUUGAAAUCGCUGUGAAGAUGCAGUGUAUCCGCGGCUAGACGGAAAGACCCCGUGAACCUUUACUGUAGCUUUGCACUGGACUUUGAGCCUGCUUGUGUAGGAUAGGUGGGAGGCUUUGAAGCGUGGACGCCAGUUCGCGUGGAGCCAUCCUUGAAAUACCACCCUGGCAUGCUUGAGGUUCUAACUCUGGUCCGUAAUCCGGAUCGAGGACAGUGUAUGGUGGGCAGUUUGACUGGGGCGGUCUCCUCCUAAAGAGUAACGGAGGAGUACGAAGGUGCGCUCAGACCGGUCGGAAAUCGGUCGCAGAGUAUAAAGGCAAAAGCGCGCUUGACUGCGAGACAGACACGUCGAGCAGGUACGAAAGUAGGUCUUAGUGAUCCGGUGGUUCUGUAUGGAAGGGCCAUCGCUCAACGGAUAAAAGGUACUCCGGGGAUAACAGGCUGAUACCGCCCAAGAGUUCAUAUCGACGGCGGUGUUUGGCACCUCGAUGUCGGCUCAUCACAUCCUGGGGCUGAAGCCGGUCCCAAGGGUAUGGCUGUUCGCCAUUUAAAGUGGUACGCGAGCUGGGUUUAGAACGUCGUGAGACAGUUCGGUCCCUAUCUGCCGUGGACGUUUGAGAUUUGAGAGGGGCUGCUCCUAGUACGAGAGGACCGGAGUGGACGAACCUCUGGUGUUCCGGUUGUCACGCCAGUGGCAUUGCCGGGUAGCUAUGUUCGGAAAAGAUAACCGCUGAAAGCAUCUAAGCGGGAAACUUGCCUCAAGAUGAGAUCUCACUGGGAACUUGAUUCCCCUGAAGGGCCGUCGAAGACUACGACGUUGAUAGGCUGGGUGUGUAAGCGUUGUGAGGCGUUGAACUAACCAGUACUAAUUGCCCGUGAGGCUUGAUC